ACGGGAGGCAGCCGUAGGGAAUAUUGCACAAUGGGGGGAACCCUGAUGCAGCAACGCCACGUGUGGGAAGAAGCAUUUCGGUGUGUAAACCACUGUCGUGAGGGAAUAAUGCUUGGCUCCGGCCAAGUUGAGUGUACCUCGAAAGGAAGCACCGGCAAACUUCGUGCCAGCAGCCGCGGUAAUACGCGGGGUGCAAGCGUUGUUCGGAAUCACUGGGCGUAAAGGGAGCGUAGGCGGAGACGCAAGCAGUCUGUACAAUACCGGGGCCCAACCCCGGACCUGCAGACUGGACUGUGUCUCUUGGAUAGUGCAGGGGCAGGCGGAAUUCCUGGUGUAGCGGUGGAAUGCGUAGAGAUCAGGAAGAACACCGAUGGCGAAGGCAGCUUGCUGGGGACUCAUCGACGCUGAGGCUCGAAAGUGCGGGUAGCAAACAGGAUUAGAUACCCUGGUA
rnacentral:rRNA from 1 species